AGAGUUUGAUCAUGGCUCAGGAUGAAUGCUGGCGGCGCGCCUAACACAUGCAAGUCGAGCGGUAACAGGGGUAGUUUACUACCUGCUGACGAGCGGCGGACGGCUGAGUAACGCGUGGGAACAUGCCCCAAAGUGAGGAAUAAGCUCCAGAAAUGGAGUCUAAUGCCGCAUAUGAUCUUCGGAUUAAAGGAUUUAUCCGCUUUGGGAGUGGCCUGCGUAUGAUUAGAUAGUUGGUGAGGUAAUGGCUCACCAAGUCUACGAUCAUUAACUGGUCUGAGAGGAUGAUCAGUCAGACUGGAACUGAGACACGGUCCAGACUCCUACGGGAGGCAGCAGUGAGGAAUCUUCCACAAUGGGCGAAAGCCUGAUGGAGCGACGCCGCGUGCAGGAUGAAGGCCUUCGGGUUGUAAACUGCUUUUAUAAGUGAAGAAUAUGACGGUAACUUAUGAAUAAGCACCGGCUAACUACGUGCCAGCAGCCGCGGUCAUACGUAGGGUGCAAGCAUUAUCCGGAGUGACUGGGCGUAAAGAGUUGCGUAGGUGGUUUGUUAAGUGAAUAGUGAAAUCCGACGGCUCAACCGUACGGACUAUUAUUCAAACUGGCAAACUCGAGAAUGGUAGAGGUAACUGGAAUUUCUAGUGUAGGAGUGAAAUCCGUAGAUAUUAGAAGGAACACCAAUGGCGUAGGCAGGUUACUGGACCAUUUCUGACACUGAGGCACGAAAGCGUGGGGAGCGAACCGGAUUAGAUACCCUAGUAGUCC
rnacentral:rRNA from 1 species